UGCAAAUGAUGCUAACUUCUUGCUGUCUAAAUAACCCUUGAUGACAACCACCAAGAUCGCUGAUGCA
rnacentral:snoRNA from 1 species